rnacentral:rRNA from 1 species
AUACGGGAGGCAGCAGUGAGGAAUUUUGGACAAUGGGCGCAAGCCUGAUCCAGCCAUGCCGCGUGUGUGAAGAAGGCCUUCGGGUUGUAAAGCACUUUCGGCCGGAACGAAAUCGCGCGGGCUAUUACCCUGCGUGGAUGACGGUACCGGAAGAAGAAGCACCGGCUAACUACGUGCCAGCAGCCGCGGUAAUACGUAGGGUGCGAGCGUUAAUCGGAAUUACUGGGCGUAAAGGGUGCGCAGGCGGCCCCGCAAGUCAGGCGUGAAAUCCCCGGGCUUAACCUGGGAAUGGCGCUUGAAACUACGGGGCUGGAGUAUGGCAGAGGGAGGUGGAAUUCCACGUGUAGCGGUGAAAUGCGUAGAGAUGUGGAGGAACACCGAUGGCGAAGGCAGCCUCCUGGGCCAAUACUGACGCUCAUGCACGAAAGCGUGGGGAGCAAACAGGAUUAGAUACCCGGGUAGUCCC